rnacentral:rRNA from 1 species
GGGAGGCAGCAGUGGGGAAUAUUGGACAAUGGGGGCAACCCUGAUCCAGCAAUGCCGCGUGAGUGAUGAAGGCCUUAGGGUUGUAAAGCUCUUUCGCCCGCGACGAUGAUGACGGUAGCGGGAGAAGAAGCCCCGGCUAACUUCGUGCCAGCAGCCGCGGUAAUACGAAGGGGGCGAGCGUUGUUCGGAAUUACUGGGCGUAAAGGGCGCGCAGGCGGCCCGAGAAGUCAGAUGUGAAAGCCCCGGGCUCAACCUGGGAAUUGCAUUUGAUACUCUGGGGCUGGAGUGCGGGAGAGGAGAGUGGAAUUCCCAGUGUAGAGGUGAAAUUCGUAGAUAUUGGGAAGAACACCGGUGGCGAAGGCGGCUCUCUGGACCGUAACUGACGCUGAGGCGCGAAAGCGUGGGGAGCAAACAGGAUUAGAUACCCCGGUAGU